UACGGAGGAUCCGAGCGUUAUCCGGAAUCAUUGGGUUUAAAGGGUCCGUAGGCGGGCGUCUAAGUCAGUGGUGAAAUUCUGCAGCUCAACUGUAGAACUGCCAUUGAUACUGGUCGCCUUGAAUCGUUGUGAAGUGGCUAGAAUAUGUAGUGUAGCGGUGAAAUGCUUAGAUAUUACAUAGAAUACCGAUUGCGAAGGCAGGUCACUAACAACGCAUUGACGCUGAUGGACGAAAGCGUGGGGAGCGAACAGG
rnacentral:rRNA from 1 species